CCUACGGGGGGCAGCAGUGAGGAAUAUUGGUCAAUGGACGCAAGCCUGAACCAGCCAUGCCGCGUGCAGGAAGACGGCCCUAUGAGUUGUAAACUGCUUUUGUAAGGGGGUAAACUGAGGUACGCGUACCUUUCUGAAAGUACUGUACGAAUAAGGAUCGGCUAACUCCGUGCCAGCAGCCGCGGUAAUACGGAGGAUUCAAGCGUUAUCCGGAUUUAUUGGGUUUAAAGGGUGCGUAGGCGGUCGGAUAAGUCAGAGGUGAAAUCCCGAGGCUCAACUUCGGAAUUGCCUUUGAUACUGGUCGGCUAGAGAGUAGGUGCGGUAGGCGGAAUGUAUGGUGUAGCGGUGAAAUGCUUAGAGAUCAUGAAGAACACCGAUUGCGAAGGCAGCCUACCAAGCUACUUCUGACGUUGAGGCACGAAAGCGUGGGGAGCAAACAGGAUUAGAUACCCUUGUAGUC
rnacentral:rRNA from 1 species